CUCCACUAGAGAUAUACUAAUUGGAACGAUACAGAGAAGAUUAGCAUUGCUCCUGCGCAA
rnacentral:snRNA from 1 species